GCUCAACAAAGAAGAGCAACCCGAGCUGUUAACUGUGACUCCCAGAUCCUGAAAUUCUGCAGAGGCCUUAGGGACAACUCUCAUUGGUUGUGGAUAUCUAAGACUUUUGCUGGAACACCUCAGUGCUCAGAAGCUCAAAUCACAGUGUCCCUUGCCAACUCUGGAGGAAGCUGCUGCUGCACCAUCCUGCUUGCCUCUCCAGCAGCCUGUGGACCUGCCGACAGG